GUGAGGAAUCUUCCACAAUGGGCGAAAGCCUGAUGGAGCAACGCCGCGUGAAGGAUGAAGGUCUUCGGAUUGUAAACUUCUUUUAUGAGUGAAGAAUAUGACGGUAACUCAUGAAUAAGCACCGGCUAACUACGUGCCAGCAGCCGCGGUCAUACGUAGGGUGCAAGCAUUAUCCGGAGUGACUGGGCGUAAAGAGUUGCGUAGGCGGUUAUGUAAGCGAAUAGUGAAACCUGGUGGCUCAACCACACAGACUAUUAUUCGAACUGCAUAACUCGAGAAUGGUAGAGGUAACUGGAAUUUCGUGUGUAGGAGUGAAAUCCGUAGAUAUAAGAAGGAACACCAAUGGCGUAGGCAGGUUACUGGGCCAUUUCUGACGCUAAGGCACGAAAGCGUGGGGAGCGAACCAGAUUAGAAACCCGUGUAGUCC
rnacentral:rRNA from 1 species